UAAAUUAAAUUUACUUUAAAAUAAAUUAAUUUUCAUUUAUUUCAAAUUUCUAUAACUAUACUAAUUUACUAUAAAUUUUUUAAUUUUUUCUAUUAAAAUACUUUAACCCCCAUAUAUUUUAAUAUUAAAAUUAUUUUCAUUAACCAUAAAUAAUUAAUUUAUAUUUUAUU
rnacentral:rRNA from 1 species